CCGUGGGUUCCCGGCAGCCCGCAGGGGUGCUAAAUGAUAAUACAGGAUGGAAUGAGUCAGAAAACAUGCUGAGGCUAGUGAUCAUUCCCAUUUGCCAACUCACUGCAAUUGGCAAGAAAACUCUGUGACUCCAUGAGAUGGGAAAUGACACCAGCAGUGAGAUGGGAAAUGACACCAGCAGUCAAGGUAGCAAGAUUUGGAACUUGAAGAUGAAUUUUUCUUCCUCAUCAAAGGAAUAUCUAAUACUGCCUUCAAAUUAAUAAAAUUGAGUUUAUUCUA
rnacentral:sRNA from 1 species